GACGAACGCUGGCGGCGUGCUUAACACAUGCAAGUCGUGCGGUAAGGCCCAUGCGGGGGUACACGAGCGGCGAACGGGUGAGUAACACGUGAGCAACCUUCCCUUAACAUUGGGAUAAACGCCGGCAAAGGUGGGUAAUACCGGAUAUGAUUUCCACACGUCGGUGGGGGGGUGGUAGGCCUUCGGGUGGCGGGGGAUGGGCGCGCUGUCUAUCCACUUCUUGGGUGGGUGAUGGCCUUGCAAGGCCUCGACGGGAAGCGGGCCUGAGAGGGUGACCCGCCACACUAGGACUGAGACACGACCCAGCCUCCUACGGGAGGCAGCGGUGGAGUAGAGUAGACAGUGGGCGAGAGCCUGAUCCAGCAACGCCGCGUGGGGGAUGACGGCCAUCGUGUUGGGAUGCUCUUUCGCCUGGGACGAAGCGAGAGUGACGGUAGCAGGUAAAGAAGCACCGGCCAACUUCGUG
rnacentral:rRNA from 1 species